GCGGCGGCGGACGUGCUGGGACUAAAGGUAUCACACACUUAUAAAGACACACACGCCCUCGCGAUACUUCCUGUGAGCGAUGAGCGAUGUGUGGGCGAUGUGGGCGGCUGUGUUGGCGAGCAUUGUCGUGUUAGCCCCACUAGCAGUCACCGCUGCUGCCCCAGCAGACGGUUACUGCUUCCACUCAGACUCGGCGGUGACGAACACACCGGUGCCGAUGGAAUCCUUUAUACUACGACAAAUGGUCAACCCCAACUACUCGGAAAUGUGCAAGUACAUCUGCCAGGUCAAACUCUUCACCUACGCCGCCAUAGAGAAUGGGUGAGUAUCUGUGUAUCACUUCGGUGCAUAUCUCUUCCUCGAUAUACUUGAACUUAAAGUUGGGAGUCACCUACUAGACCACUGCCGGUGUAGCCUUUGGAUCGUCGUUCUCCCGUGCGAUCUUGCUGAGAGAA